rnacentral:lncRNA from 1 species
CCCACCUAAAUUCUGGAAGGCCCCACCUCCCUUAGCCCCAACAGGCAGUGCUCAUCAUCAACGACUUUCCUCCAAGCCCCCGCCCUCUGCAUACUGCAUGGACUCCAGGAGUCCCCUGCCCCCACUCCCACCCAGGAAAGCUGGUCUAGGACCAAUCAGAGGCUGUGGAACUUUCUGGAAGGCCCAGGGCUUCUCCCUGGGUGGGGCAGGGCCUCUGAUUGGAGGAGGCCUGCCAGAAGGGUGGGGCGAUGGGCGUGGCUAACGGGAUAACUGCCAGAGCAGAAGACAGUUGGCAGUUAUUUCGCAACCUUCAUCUGUUCCUGGAAGAUACCCGUAGCCUGCCUUCCUUCUUGACAGGCUGAUUUAGGGGUGCUCCCCAAGAAGAUCAGGACUGCUGAAAGAAUGAAGAAGAACUUACUUGGCCUAGGAUGUGGCUAGAGAACGGAGCGCACUUUCACUUACCUGGCAAGGUGGUUUUGGAAGUUUCCACGGAAGCCUUCCCAGGGCCGCUGCUGCCCGUCCUCGCCUAGGUGUGGAGCUUCCCGACCGGCUGGGGAGGGAAUGUCCUGCGGGAGCCGCCGAGGACCCUCUUUAGCCUCUUCCCUGGCUUGGCUGCAGCUGCAGUCUGGUACUCGCCCAUUCUGCUCUUCUUCACCUCCGUAUUUUCUCUCUCACGGAAGAAGAAUUCCAUUCUCCCAUCCCAGGAAGGAGAGUGCCCUGCGUGCCACGAAAGAGCCCAGGACCCACAGGACAAAUACGUCACUGGCAGACCUGCCUUCGCCAGCGCCAGCCCAUCUCUGAAACCUCCAGCAUUUGUGCCCCGGUCCGGCCCCUCCCAGGCCUGACUCUUUCCGUGAACGGUCACUGCGCAGGAUCAAGCUACAAUGAAGAGGAGGGAGGCAGUCUGCGCGCACCGCCAUUUUCUAGGAACUGGGAAGCCCCCCCACCCCUUAGGAAGAUCCAUCCCUGUGGAACCUUGCCCAGGCUUACCAGCCUUUGCUGAGGUUGAUCUAUUGUCCCUCCUUGUCCCCAUCAAAAUAUCCAGCACUCCACCUUCAGGGAGUAGACUUGACCCUCAAAUAGCAAGUUCAGCCUUCCCAGGUCUAGGUUCCCUGGGAGGUCAAGAUUCGUCUGGUUCCUUAGUACAGAGGGCUAGCUGUGAGUUGGAAUCCCCCUAUGAGCUUUAGAAUCAGUCAAGAGGAAUUGGGCCCCUUCCCUUCAUCCCUCUUCUUUUCCCUUUUUGUCCCAGAGCUCAGCUCUGACUCAAAAGUUUUUCCAUUUACCAUCAACAUGGAAACUUGGCUCCUCACGUAGGUAUAUUAUCCCCCUUUUGUACAUGGUCUUGUUGAUCCAAACUCCCUUUCUGUGAAAGAGGCCUGUGGGGCUCAAGAAGCCUGGUCAGCCAGCCAGGCUAGUCCCACAUACCUCAGAACCAGUUUAAUAAAGGCUCUAUGUCAUUCUUUUUUGCUUGGG